GAUUCACUGCUUCCGACACUGUUACGAAUCAAUUGCAAAGCGACUGUGUCACGGUUAUAUUAUUAUAUAUAAAUACAUUGGUGGGAGUAGGCAAUAUGUUUCGUCAAUGACUAGAAGAUAUGACAAGACGUACAGUUAUCAGUGUUGUACACUGUACAGGCAUAUUAGUCAUCACGAAUGAUGGAAGGGGUUAUCUAGAGCAUGGUAUGCAUGAACGUUAUAAUGAAGGCGUAUAGCGUCAAAAUUCUCCAUGUAUAUUGAAAUCUGUUAUUUAAGUAUAUUUCAAUUUAGUUUAGAUCAAUAUUCAUUAAUAAUUAAAACAAAUCUAAUUCAUUACAUUAAAGAGGAAAUACCGUAGGCAUAUACAUUUUAUCUAGAAAAAAUAUAUGUAUACGUGUGUGAUAUACGUAUUAUAACUUAGUUGGAAUCGUGGGACGUCAUAAAUUUAAAAUAAUUGUUAAACGAAUGUAUAAUUAUCAGAUGCAGUGACGCCUGAAAACAAACGUAAAAAGAAGAUGUAACAUAGUACUUCAAGGAUGACCAUGUACUUAUAUUAUACUUCUAUAAUACAUGUUAUAGUCAAACUUCAUACAUAAUUAACAUAGUAAUAUCUGUUCAGAAAAUAACAUUAUUCAAAUCUUUCCGAAACUGCGUGUUCUAGAAUAUUACAUUACAUAUAUUGAUAUACCGAUAUACGUAUAAUAUAUGUAAAUAAGUAAUGCAUUUUUAGACUCUUAUCUUUGUAUAUAAUAAGGGUUUGGGGGGGACGAGGUGGCCGUGUGGUCUAAGGCGUCGGUUGCGGCGCAGCCGGUCGCUGGUUCGAUCCGCGGUCACCGGUGGCAUUUUUCUUCGGGCAAGUCACGGUGUCCGGAGAAUAAGUGCCGCCAUCCCACCCGGGGCAUGGCAGAAACCUACGGGUGCCCCAUUAGAAAUUCUGCCACAACACACACACGUGUUUCUCCCUACCGUUCCCAACCUUACAGUAAUAACCGAUUAAAAACCUAAUCCAUCCCCAAUGGCCUAAGUUGCCGCGGGUGUAUUAAAAAAAAAAAAAAAAAAAAAUAA